rnacentral:ncRNA from 1 species
AGGUACCGCUACAAACAACCUCUCCCCAUGCUCGGUAUAAGCAUUGGGGUUGGG